rnacentral:rRNA from 1 species
GAUUAUGGCUCAGGAUGAACGCUAGCGGCAGGCUUAACACAUGCAAGUCGAGGGGCAGCACGAGGUAGCAAUACUUUGGUGGCGACCGGCGCACGGGUGCGUAAAGCGUAUGCAACCUACCUUUAACAGGGGCGUAACACUGAGAAAUUGGUACUAAUUCCCCAUAACAUUCGAGAAGGCAUCUUCUUGGGUUAAAAACUCCGGUGGUUAAAGAUGGGCAUGCGUUGUAUUAGCUGGUUGGUGAGGUAACGGCU